UUUUAUUUGUGCAGCUUGUAAUUUUUUCCUGCAUGCUUGUACAACGUCUGGAAAAGGCGCUUCAGUUUUGGAGUGGUGCCCUCCAGUGCAUCUGUAAAUAAUCUUGCUGAAUUGUAUGAGCAUGCAGUGUCGAGGAAUGUGGACUUGGGAGAGGAGGGACACAAAGCAAAUGUGAAGACUUUAAGUAUACAGUUGCAUAUGGACUCAGGAUCCCACUCAACUUCUUCAGGGCCUUAAGAAGAGGUCCGUGUCUACUUUCUUCUAACAAAGCAUGUGAAGAAAGGCACACAAUAGGCAUGAGAACAAUAAGAACAAAGUAGUAGACAAGAAGAGCUGGUUGGGAUGUGAAGGCUGAGGGCAGAUUUGUCUGCUGUGACCCUGAAAUGGUGAAGUUUGGGAUCCUGAGAGAGCCAGGGAAAUGACAGGAUCACAACCCUACACUUCAGAAGAACAGAUUUUGGACUGUUCAGAGAGUUACUUGGAAGACUAUCGUUGGGUUACUGCCCUAGUGAGCAGAGAAGAGGAGAGAAGAGGAAGAUCAGAGAGUCACUUAAUUUUCAAUGAUCACCUACUCCAAGUUCAAGAGCUGCUGAUCUGUUUUAGUAGGAGGUCAUGUAAAGGUGGCUGGACCUCCUCUGAUGAACAAGGAACUCCUGGCAAAACUGGAGUAUAAAAAAAAGGUGUACAAGAAGUGCAGGCAGGGACAAGGGCCCCAGGAUAAACCGAGAGAAUUUAUCUAAGUGUGCAGGGCUGGACUUAGGAAAGUCAAUUUAAUCUCACAAGGCACAUGAUGGGCAACAAAAAGGAUUUCUGCAGGCAUAGCACAGCAGCACAAGGAAACCCCAGAAAAUGCGGAGCACCUGCUGAAUUGGUCAGAUGACCCUGUGACAAUGAGCAUGAAAUAUCUUCUUUUCCUUGGUCUUUGCUAGUGUGAUUUACUUUCACAAACCCAGAUCUGGGGGAUCUGUGCCUGGCCUCAGUCAGCAGCUGGUAAGCAAUUACAUUGGAUUUGAUUUCCCAUUCCUCUGAUGCAAGCACAGAAUAGUCAGGGAUCUGUCCAGUGACAGGACAAGAGAUGAUGCACACAAACUGAAAUACAGCAAAUAUCAUUUAAGCUUAAGGGAAAAAGAUUUUAGAGUGCAUAUGGUCAGACAGGAAAGUUAUGGAGUCUCAGUCAGUGGAGGUAUUCAAAACUUGACUGGACACAGUCCUCAUCAACCUGCUUUAGCUGAUCCUGAGGAGCUCCAGAGGUUCUUUCAAUCUCAAUUGUGACCUACAGGCUGUGCCUUACUGCUACAUACGCUCCUCUAUGUUCAUGGGUAAGGACCACAUCAGCUUACUUCUCAUGAGGAACAGCUCCUCAUGGUGACUUGUCACCUGUAAUUACCCUGAGAAUCUGGCGUCACUUUGUGAAAGGUUCUGCACAAAAUUUGUAUCUUCAACUUUUUCUGUCAUGAAGAAAGUGCAGCCUAAAUAUGGAGUUAAAACAGGUGUGCGCAAGACAUUGUAAUGGUAAGAACAUUAAUAACAAUGUAAGAGUCACAAACAUCUAAUUUAGUACCACAGGUAUCAGAGCAGAAAAGGUUAGGGGUUAUUGAUUAAGAAGGCUUUGCAAAUGUUUAAUUGCCCCCUUCCUAUAUGAAAAAGUGAUACUGUCAUAAGCUGCAUAAAUUGCUAUUUGUUUUAUAACAAAGGUUCUAUCUAAAAAGCAGUAUGCUUACAGUUGCCUUCUUUAAACAGGAUGUAUUUUCUUUAGUUUUAGAAAAUAUAACAAAAUAUGGUAUCUGAACAUCUGUUUAUAGAAGUUGGGAAAGCUGUGUAAAUCUUUAAUACUGUAUGCUUGUUCUCUUGGUUUCUGUCAUCAUCUAUAAUUUAAAGCAACUAAAUCCUGGAUUUAGAAAGGCUCACUAUUUAGCUAGAUCCAGGAGUAACACACAGCAUGCCUGCCUGUUUUUUCCUCAGGGUGCUAAGAAAGGAGCCUGGUGCUUUGAUGAGGUGAUAAGAUACAAGGAUGGUUACAGAAAUGUGGAAGGGCCACUAGACACAUCAGGGGUAGCACCACAGCCUUAGGCUCUCCUCUGCGGCCAGCAGCUAUGAACUUCAGCAGAAUGUUCAAUGGAGAGUAAAAUUUAAUUAGAAGUGAAUUGUGCCAGGAUCUUCUGCCUUCAUUCUAAACAUGAUAAGACUUGACAGCACCUCUGUCCAUUCAGGGUGAAAUUUAUUGAGACUUUGCUAUCAUAUAUCAACUUUUUGGAAUUAAAAGCAGUCCAGUAAAAUGCUAGUAAAGAAAGCAUCUAACGAUUUAAGUUUAAAAAUGUCAGCCUUCAAUUCUUGCACCUUUACUAGAUGUACAAUUUUGUGGAGUGGUCAAGAGUUAUGUCAGCAAUUGCAGGUUUGUAUUGUGAUAAAAAGGGGCUGCUGCCUUAAAUCACUUGCCCUUACUUAAUAAUUUUUUUUGUUUUUAAUUAGAAUAGCAAAUGAUCAUGUUAAGAGAUGAAUUUCUAUAAUUAGGGUUCUGUAACUUGUAUAUUCUUUCCACUGAAGAUUUAAAACAAAGGCAGAAGAACAGAACACAGGACAACAAUGUGUUACUUAAUAUAUAUUUGGAAGUAAAAUUUACUGUCUCAGUAAGAAUUAGGAGAUUCUUCCAGGACAAAAAUACUCAAGUGCAUUUCUUGAGAUUGAUGAUCUGAUUAACAUUUAGCAUUUUAAAUAUACUGAGAAAAUGAUUUAUUUAGGAGAUCCUCAGAUGUAUCACAAAAUGAGAAAUUUAAGGGGCCAAUGUCUCUCGAGAAGCAAGAUGAUAGAAAAAAUAAAAUUUCAAACAAAAAAAAAUUAAAAACUAGUUUAGAUUACAGUUAAGAUUAAGUAUAAUUUAAAACUAAGCAUAACAUUUUAACCAGAAGGGAACAUUAUGAGUUUAUAUUAACUACACAAGGGCUGUACCUCAGAAAGACUUCCUUAGAAAUCAUGGUUAUAAGUAGGUAGUUUCUUACUAGUGUGAUACUAACACUCUUUUUUUACUUACAGGAAAUUGAUGAUGGUUCUAUAUACAUUAUGAGCACAGCCUGUAUCAGUGUAGUUUUGGGGUAUAUAUGCAGAUCAUCUGACUCUCCUGCAUUCUUUACCAGAUUACCCUUUCUCUACUCCAAGCUGAUCAGCUCAUGAUUUUGUACUAUUGAUACUCACUGCAUCCUUUCUCCACAGCUGGGAUUCAGAGAUCAAGGUGUAUCUCAGAGGCUUAUAGGUUACCCAGAACUGCAGUCUGCUGUUCCUUUGCUUCUGAGGUGUGGGGUCUUGAGAUGGAAGAGGAACUACUCAGCCGUGCUGUGGCUGAGGUCUCUUAGCAGGGCCAUGUAUAUGGAGGGGUGCCAAUGCCAAUGUGCCAAUUCCCAUACAGAGGAAGGCCAGUGCACCCUUUGGGAAAGGGAGUAGUCUUGCACAAGCUGUGUCAUGCUCUGAAACAGAUGUGAUGCAAGACCUCUGCAUGAUUUUGGCCCUGAUGUUAUUGCAGGAAGCUGAAAAUUGUCCACCUACUUCAUUAUAAAACUUGGUGUUUGCUUUGAUAAUCACCAUACAGUUAUUAAUUUUAAUAAAAUGU